GGUGCAGUGGUCUAAGACACUGCAUUUCAGCUACAAGAGGUAUCACUGCAGUACCUGGUUCAAAUCCAGGCUGCAUCA
rnacentral:tRNA from 1 species